GAUGAAGAACGCAGCGAAAUGCGAUAAGUAAUGUGAAUUGCAGAAUUCAGUGAAUCAUCGAAUCUUUGAACGCACAUUGCGCCCGCCAGUAUUCUGGCGGGCAUGCCUGUUCGAGCAUCAUUACAACCCUCAGGCCCCCGGGCCUGGCGUUGGGGAUCGGCGGAAGCCCCCUGCGGGCACAACGCCGUCCCCCAAAUACAGUGGCGGUCCCGCCGCAGCUUCCAUUGCGUAGUAGCUAACACCUCGCAACUGGAGAGCGGCGCGGCCACGCCGUAAAACACCCAACUUCUGAAUGUUGACCUCGAAUCAGGUAGGAAUACCCGCUGAACUUAAGCAUAUCAAUAAGCGGAGGA
rnacentral:misc_RNA from 1 species